GGGGUCCCUUCGGGGACAUCCGAUAAAAUUGGAACGAUACAGAGAAGAUUAGCAUGGCCCCUGCGCAAGGAUGACACGCAUAAAUCGAGAAAUGGUCCAAAAAAAAAAAAAAAAAAAAAAAAAAAAAA
rnacentral:snRNA from 1 species